AUUUGAUCUGACAUCAGGNGGGAUGACCCGCUGAACUUAA
rnacentral:rRNA from 1 species